CUACGUAGGUGACAAGCGUUAUCCGGAUUUACUGGGCGUAAAGGGCGUGUAGGCGGUCUUGCAAGUCAGAAGUGAAACUCCUGAGCUCAACUCGGGCGCUGCUUCUGAAACUGCAGGACUUGAGUGCUGGAGGGGAUAGCGGAAUUCCUAGUGGAGCGGUAAAAUGCGCAGAUAUUAGGAAGAACACCGGUGGCGAAGGCGGCUAGCUGGACAGAAACUGACGCUGAGGAGCGAAAGCGUGGGGAGAAAAAAGGAUUAGAUACCCUGGUAGUCCACGCCGUAAACGAGGAAUACUAGGUGUAGGGGGUAUCGACUCCCUCUGUGCCGCAGUUAACACAAUAAGUAUUCCGCCUGGGGAGUACGGCCGCAAGGUUGAAACUCAAAUGAAUUGACGGGG
rnacentral:rRNA from 1 species